AUAUCAGUCAUGCAUAGCAUAUCAAUAAGCGGAGGAAAAGAAACUAACAAGGAUUCCCUUAGUAACGGCGAGUGAAGCGGGAAGAGCUCAAAUUUGAAAUCUUCAAGGUUUUACCUUGACGAAUUGUAGUUUAAAGAAGUGUUUUCUGUUGAAGUUUUGGUAAAAGUUCUUUGGAAUAGGACAUCAUAGAGGGUGAGAAUCCCGUAUUUGACCAUUACUUUCAGCUUUGUGAUACACUUCCAAAGAGUCGGAUUGUUUGGGAAUGCAGUCCAAAAUGGGUGGUAAAUUUCAUCUAAAGCUAAAUAUUGGCGAGAGACCGAUAGCGAACAAGUACCGUGAGGGAAAGAUGAAAAGAACUUUGAAAAGAGAGUUAAACAGUACGUGAAAUUGUCAAAAGGGAAGCGUUUGACACCAGUGUUGUUUUCUCGAAAAUCAAUUAAAAAGAGUUGGAUUCUGUGUUGUAUUGACUUUAUCAGCUUUCUUCACUCUUUUCCAGCUUUUUUUAAUGCACUUUUCGUUUAACAAGUCAACAUCAGUUUCUUUUGUUGUAAAAAGGUCAUUGGAAGGUGGCUUUCUCUUCGGAGAAAGUGUUUAUAGCCUUUGACUCAUGCAAUCGGAGAGACUGAGGUCUGCAGCGUAGAUCCUUCGGGGUUAGAUACAUUUGUGCUAAGUUAUAGCUUUUCAUAGACAACUUGUUGACUAUGUUUAGUCUUGUAGCUUACUCGCUUAUGCUAUUUUACCUACGCUUAGGAUGUUGAACUCUAUCACACACAG
rnacentral:rRNA from 1 species